GACGCGAAGAACCUUACCUACUCUUGACAUCCAGAGAACUUAGCAGAGAUGCUUUGGUGCCUUCGGGAACUCUGAGACAGGUGCUGCAUGGCUGUCGUCAGCUCGUGUUGUGAAAUGUUGGGUUAAGUCCCGCAACGAGCGCAACCCUUAUCCUUUGUUGCCAGCGGUUCGGCCGGGAACUCAAAGGAGACUGCCAGUGAUAAACUGGAGGAAGGUGGGGAUGACGUCAAGUCAUCAUGGCCCUUACGAGUAGGGCUACACACGUGCUACAAUGGCGCAUACAAAGAGAAGCGACCUCGCGAGAGCAAGCGGACCUCAUAAAGUGCGUCGUAGUCCGGAUUGGAGUCUGCAACUCGACUCCAUGAAGUCGGAAUCGCUAGUAAUCGUAGAUCAGAAUGCUACGGUGAAUACGUUCCCGGGUCUUGUACACACCG
rnacentral:rRNA from 1 species